CCUACGGGUGGCAGCAGUGAGGAAUAUUGGUCAAUGGCCGUGAGGCUGAACCAGCCAAGUCGCGUUAAGGAAGACGGCCCUACGGUUUGUAAACCUCUUUUGUCGGGGAGCAAAGCGAUUCACGUGUGACUCAUUGCAAGUACCCGACGAAAAAGCAUCGGCUAACUCCGUGCCAGCAGCCGCGGUAAUACGGAGGAUGCAAGCGUUACUCGGAAUCACUGGGUGUAAAGAGUGCGUAGGCUGGAUAGUAAGUCAGCUGUGAAAUUCUAUGGCUUAACCAUAAAAUUGCAGUUGAAACUGUGAGACUAGAGUAUGGGAGAGGUAGGCGGAAUUCGUGGUGUAGGGGUAAAAUCCGUAGAGAUCAAGAAGAAGACGGAUUGCGAAGGCGACUUGCUAGAACAUAACUGACGCUGAUGCGCGAAAGCGUGGGGAGCAAACAGGAUUAGAUACCCGAGUAGUC
rnacentral:rRNA from 1 species